GCGCGUCUCCAUCUAUUUGAAUCGGAGAGCGUCGGCUUCGAGUCUUUUUCGAGGAAUUCGAACAAGCUAACGAUCUUCUAUAUGUCGAUUUACGGUGAUCUGCUGCGGAACACGCGCCACCGAAUCCCUGCGCAACCUGGAUGGAAUUCUAUUCGAAUAAUAGAUUAAGACCGAGUCUCGAAUAUACCAUUCGACAAGAAGAAUAUGCUAUGCACCGAGAGUGAGAAAGAUAAAAUAAAAGUGGUAGGGAUGACCCCUAGUUUCGUUAUGGAGAACAAAAAUACGAUCAGUUAGAGAGAUAACAGUGUCUCAUAAUUGGAGUAAGUGGGAUAUCUGGUAAUUCCUAUAGGCGAUUCGAGAUAGCGGCUAGAGAGUUGAUCGAAACCACGAAAGUAAGUUCGGAAUCAUCGAUUUCUGAUCGAGACGAUCAAGAGUUAGCGAAUCCUUAGAUACACAGCUCCUUUCAUCUGGAGAUUAUCCUCGUGGCCAUAGUUAUCCAAUUUCUCUUCCAUUAACAAUUACAAUAAUUGAUGUCGGUUAAUGCUUCUACUGGAACAAAUUAUAUGCCUCGCGGCAGAAUCGAGCAUUUUAUUUACUCCGUUUAUUUAUUAGUAAAUUGCUGGACUUUAUUGGAAGCCACGUAACGUACUGUAAUAGAUUCCGCCAUUAAUGUUCACAUUAAAUUUCAGCUAUGUCUCUCUGUUUUCAACGAGUGUACUGCGACAUGUAUGCAUUUAUCGUAUAGGCAAUGAUAACAAAUGCAAAACGUGUGCUAUUUGAUUUAAUAGAGAUUAUUUACAUUAAUGAUUGAUUUAUAUUUGUUUCAUUCGAAAUUAUCCAUAAUUUUUUAUUAUUCUUUACAAUUGUUUCUAGUUGUUAAUGCUAUUCUUCCUAUGAAUACAGAGAUAUUUUACAGAUCACUCUAUUUGCAUACAUAGAUUUGCUAUAAGUAUAUUUAUAUCAAUAUCUUCCACAAAUUUCAUUUAAAUUUAU